UACGAAGGGGGCUAGCGUUGUUCGGAAUCACUGGGCGUAAAGGGCGCGUAGGCGGCCGAUCAAGUCGGGGGUGAAAGCCUGUGGCUCAACCACAGAAUUGCCUUCGAUACUGUUUGGCUUGAGACCGGAAGAGGUAAGUGGAACUGCGAGUGUAGAGGUGAAAUUCGUAGAUAUUCGCAAGAACACCAGUGGCGAAGGCGGCUCACUGGCCCGUAACUGACGCUGAGGCACGAAAGCGUGGGGAGCAAACAGG
rnacentral:rRNA from 1 species